rnacentral:rRNA from 1 species
AUUGAACGCUGGCGGCGUGCCUAACACAUGCAAGUCGAGCGGUAACAAGGUCGUAGCAAUACAUGCUGACGAGCGGCGGACGGGUGAGUAACGCUUGGGAAUCUGCCGUAUUAGUGGGGGACAACCCGGGGAACUCGGGCUAAUACCGCAUACGCUCUACGGAGGAAAGCCGGGGACCGCAAGGCCUGGGCGCUAAUAGAUGAGCCCAAGUCGGAUUAGCUAGUU